rnacentral:rRNA from 1 species
CGAACGCUGGCGGCAGGCCUAACACAUGCAAGUCGAGCGCUUACCUUCGGGUAGGAGCGGCGGACGGGUGAGUAACGCGUGGGUAACCUGCCCCAUACAAAGGGAUAGCCACUGGAAACGGUGAUUAAUACCUUAUAACAUCAUUGUAUCGCAUGAUACGAUGGUCAAAGAUUUAUCGGUAUGGGAUGGACCCGCGUCUGAUUAGCUAGUUGGUAAGGUAAUGGCUUACCAAGGCGACGAUCAGUAGCCGACCUGAGAGGGUGAUC